rnacentral:lncRNA from 1 species
AAAACGACUGAAUGGUAUUUGUUAAAGCAUGGAGACAAAGACUUUGUCAGGAUAAUGACAGGCACAGGGACCUUGCAGUCAACAGUCUUGCAGCAAGGAAGAGAGAUUGGGCUCAACUCCAAAUGCAGCACGGGCCAGUGGGAAUUUAUAGCCAAGGAGCAGUGUGGGGGUCAGUGGAUGGAAAAUUACUCAAAGGAAGCGUUGGGGUAAGGUGGAUCUGGCUAAACCUAACAGGAUUCUCACUGAAGACAGGCCAGGGUGAUCAGACAUCACCUGGGGGAUGGUGCAGGAUGAGAAACCUGGUCAGACAUUGAGGCGAUCGGAUGUUGAUGUUGCUGGUUCUUGGUAAAACGACUUAGCUAGUGUCCUUUGCUAAAACUGGAUUUUACAAGGACGUGCACAAACAGGCCUAGCAGGAGAUUCAGAAGCCUGACUAAAAUUUGGCCAAGGAAAAAAAUCCUUGUCACCAGGAAAGUGAGGACUAUUGUCACCAAAUUCAGACUGCCAAUUGUUAAACAUUUACCUGCACAUACUGGGCUCAUCUUCAUUAUUGGUAAAAUGAGCUAGAUGCUAUUUUCCAUUAGCUCACACUCCAAUUCCAAUCGACCUGACCAUCAGAAGAGACAAAAAGGGAAAAUCCUGGCCAGUUCUCCCCUACCUGAUCAACCAGUAGCAUAAUCAGAUUUGCAAGACCUCAAGAAAAGAAACCUGAAAAUGCCACUGGAGGUGUGUGUUUUGCCAAAGAAAAAAGAAUCAAAAACAAAACCUGCAGGAUGAGGACAAACAAACAAAGAGCAGGGGCUCAGCCAUGAACCUUGUGAUGGAUGAGGAAAAGAUAUUCUUUUUCUCCCCUUACAGUUUCUGGCAGCCAACAUGGGGUGGCUGUGACACCCCACUAGUUCCAGAACCUGCAGAUGAGAUCCUGGGACAACCAAUAAAAAAACAACAAAAAGUUAAGAGUUUUUUUUUUUUUUUUUUUUUUUUUUUUUAAACCAAGAUCAGCUCUCUUGGAUCUCUGCUCCUAGGUAGGGAUUUCCUUUCCAAAUUCAGAUUAGCAGAAGAAAAUCAUUUGUUUGGAUUGUGACUCAUGUAAAUCUGAUUUGGGGAUACCCAUUAGUUAUUGAUCCUUUCCCUCCCAGGGACAGCUAUCUCAUUCCUGUUUCUCUCCUUUUGUUUCCUGAGUGCUUCGCUUCAUGAGUGGUGACAAAACUCUCUCUGGGCCCGGCAUGAUGGCUUAUGCCUGUAAUCCCAGCACUUUGGGAGGCCAAGGCAGGCAGAUCACUUGAGGUCAGGAGUUGGAGACCAGCCUGGCCAACAUAGUGAAACCCCGUCUCUACUAAAAAUACAAAACUUAGCUGGGCAUGGUAGCACAUGCCUGUAGUCCCAGCUACUUGGGAAGGUGAGGCA